GCUUAGCUGUUAACAUAUAUGUCGCCAGAAGAGUAGAAGCCACAGCCCGAAACUCAAAGGACCUGGCGGUGCCCUAAAUCAACCUAGAGGAGCCUGUGCCAUAAUCGAUUAUCCCCGAUCAACCUCACCCCCCCUUGCAACUUCAGCCUGUAUACCGCCGUCGCCAGCUUAUCUCCCAAGAGAACAAAGCAAAAUCAUCACCCAUAAAAACGACAGGUCAAGGUGCAGCUCAUGGGGCGGACAUCAUGGGCUACAAUGCCAAAUUUCGGCAUAAACGAAACUUGAAAUGAACACACUUCGAGAGAAGUAGGAUUUAGCAGUAAGAUCAAUAAGAACAUUUGUCUGAACACACGCACUGGGGCAUGC
rnacentral:rRNA from 1 species